AGUGAACGCUGGCGGUAGGCCUAACACAUGCAAGUCGAACGGCAGCACAGUAAGAGCUUGCUCUUACGGGUGGCGAGUGGCGGACGGGUGAGGAGUACAUCGGAAUCUACUUUUUCGUGGGGGAUAACGUAGGGAAACUUACGCUAAUACCGCAUACGACAUACGGGUGAAAGCAGGGGAUCUUCGGACCUUGCGCGAUUGAAUGAGCCGAUGUCGGAUUAGCUAGUUGGCGGGGUAAAGGCCCACCAAGGCGACGAUCCGUAGCUGGUCUGAGAGGAUGAUCAGCCACACUGGAACUGAGACACGGUCCAGACUCCUACGGGAGGCGGCAGUGGGGAAUAUUGGACAAUGGGCGCAAGCCUGAUCCAGCCAUACCGCGUGGGUGAAGAAGGCCUUCGGGUUGUAAAGCCCUUUUGUUGGGAAAGAAAAGCAGCAGGUUAAUACCCCGCUGUUCUGACGGUACCCAAAGAAUAAGCACCGGCUAACUUCGU
rnacentral:rRNA from 1 species